rnacentral:lncRNA from 1 species
AAACGUAUAAUAUACUCAUAGAGAAUUUAUGAGGAGGGAUCGGUGGACUGCUAGCACAAUGAUAAUUCGCAUUCCAAUGUGCACGUAUGCAUAAAUCUAUGUGUACUCUUGCGCGCGCGUGCACGAGUAAGUAAAAGAGCGGAAUGCACGCUGGCUAUUGGCAUCGUGCGUAUUGCGUAAACAGUGGGUCUUAAUAGACGCCUGUGCACGAGCAUCUUGCUAUGAUAAAACGGGCAUGCAUUCGCAUUGCGUCAUGUGAAAAGUAACAACUGCUAGACGGCCUUGGGUACAGCACAUUGUGAUAAUGCACUUAUUGAAAAUAAAGAAGCCAGAUAUACAAGCUUUGACAGUUGAAGAAUAUUUCUCCUGAAAGCUAACGAGGAAAUCGAGUGACAUAUGCGCCACUUUCCUGGUAAGAUAAACAUGGAAGAAUGUUUAAUCUACGUGCCGUUAUUUUUGCAGAUUGAAGUAUCCGCAGGCUUAUUGGAGUGUAGAGCACAACGAUAAUAUCGACAAAAGUGUCAUGGAUACUAAUAACCUAACCUAGACAAACUUGUCUAGCUAUCUAGCAUUGAAAAUCGAUCUCGUUAUAUCAGGUUAUAGAUAUAAUUAUAUUUGACAUAUAAUUAUAUUAAAAACAUAGCACUUGUUAUAAUAUUUAGCAUGUGAAACGAAUUUCUACAUAGGUUUCCUUUUCCUACUUAUGCUGAUAAAAAUAUAAAUUUGCACAAGCAUUCGCAGUCCAAUUAUAAACAUAUAUAGGAUCUCAGUUGCAUUCAGAACAAUAUAGAUUUGCGUAAACAUCCGCGGUUUACUGAUCGUUAUUAUAAGAUAGGUUUAAUAAUCACGUAGAUAGUGCACGGUAUACAACGUUCGUUUAUUUGAGUUGUAAUCAUACAAGUGCAUAACAAAUAUAUUGUGCAAUCAGGCUGAUCUUGUAGAAUGAAGUUGUAGCGGUGUUUCAACAUCGACUUAUGACUUCAUUGAUUCCUCCGACACGUUCGAUGGAACGUUAUGAACGACGAUCCCGAAGAAACGCUCGUGGGCCAACAAACAACUCGACUACGUUAUUAUACUUAAUCGCGGUGUGCGCCCGAAGCGCGACGUUCUCGCGAUUGCUGGAAUGCCGUCCGAUCACUUGUACCCGGUCUAUCAAGGCCGUUGGGAAAUGAAAAUCGUUUCUUUCUGGUCGACUUAUGGAAUCCAAAACAUGUGGGACAUUAAGAAUUUACGUGGACGGGGGGAAAAGGCAUCGAUGGUAGGUAAACACGGGUCGGUAUAAAAAUAGAGUGCAUCCUGAAGAUGCAACCUGGUCCCAUUGCGAUAUAACAGUUAGCGAUAAAAUCAAAUUGCACAAAUGUGCACCAAAUCGUACUUGUCGGUGAAUUGGGUCGUUCACUUAUAGAUCGGUCGGUAAUUUACCUACGUUCCAUAACUGCAUAAGCAGUUAUUAAAUAUUUUAUUAAAUAUUGGAAAAUUCGCUACUACGCUGUUGAAUUCCGGAUUGUAGAGAACGAGUAUAACUUGUUGUAAUCGUUUGAAAACUUUUUUUCAAUAAAAUGCGAUAAAGUCGCACCUUCGUACCUUGAGAGUUUAGGACAAAAAUAAUCAUAUUCUACUGUUUUCACAACUAUAUAGAAGGUGAUCCGUAAUUCGUGGGUAGAGAGAUUCUAUGACUUAGAAUAAGAGGAAAAUCAAGAAUAACACAAUUACGCUGGUUUUGUUUCUGAGAAAAUCGAUGACUCCAUUUGUACUAUGAAUACAAUACCUGAAGCAGAGUGACCAUCCUGUAUAGUUGGCAAAAUGGUGUGAAAAAUACCAUAAAUGGGAGGAACUAGGACAAAGGUACAGAUUUUGAGUGAUUAAAUUUAUGGUUUUGAUGAUUCGUCGUAGUGAAUUACUGUUUAUAUAAAUAUAGAAAUGAGUGUCGCUGUUGAUGACAUACUGAUGAUAUCAUUGCAGAUUGUCUCAACAAGUGGCAAUACUUUUUAGUACUUAUACUUUAUACUGUUUAUGGUAUACUACUCCAACAAUACUCUUUAGUAUUUUACUUAUUAAUAUUUACUAUGAUUAUUUCCAUAUUUCCCGUUCCAUUUCAUUUCAAAGAAAAGGAUGAAAAAUAAUGAAAUAAAGGAUAAAAUAUCAUCACUGUCUUUGCUAAUGCGAAGGUCUUUAAAGGGGAUAUUAAGUAAAAGAGCUAAAUGGUACCAGAAGACGAUUUACCUUCGUGACCACUCUCAUUUACAUACGGAAGUUAUCUAUUUCUCUAAGCGCGAGCACCGAACCAUUACGUUCCAUUUAAUUAACAAUGUGGCAGACAAGCUUCCACCUCGAAGCGCCUCGUAGAUCGAUGUUAACCACACGUUAGAAUCAAUCAUCGCGCGUUCACCGGUGAAACGAUUAGCUUACGAUGAGUAAACAAAUGUUUGAACGAUGCGCAUUACACGGCAGAGCAAAUACACUGCUUCCUGUCGCGUAAUUUGUAGUCGUGACGCUCGCUUCGUAUAUGUAACGAUCGACGCGAUCAUUCGAUAAUAACAGAUUCAAGAAUAUUUGCAUAAUACCUACCAGAGUAUGCGUUAACCACUUCGUUGUACCUUUUAUCAAUUUUGCCAUCUAAUAUAUUAUGAGAACCUCGCCGCUACAAACUAGUGCGAAUGUUCUACAGGAUAGAUCAGUUAGAUAGAAGAGUAACUAUUGUAGAUGAUGUACCAUUAUCAGUCAUGGUUACGAUUCCGUCACGUGAAGCGCACAACGUAACAACACAACAAUUUUGUAAUUUUGUUUAUUUUCUUUUAGAUCUACGAUCAAAACUCGCAUGAUAAUUAUUUAUCACAGAUUUGUGGCAAACUGAAGAGGAGGAAGGCUAAAUCUAAAGGUUUGAGUUCUUAAGAAAUCAAGAUAGCUGCGACUCUCUCUUUUAAAAGUAACUAACUUAGAAGUUAUUAAUAAUUCAUUUUCAAAUAAUGCUCUGCUUUCAGGCCUUCUACAUUUUUCUACGUUAAACAUGACCAACUCCAGCCACCGUUUCACGUCACGACGUUAGGAUACAGUUACCCUUGCUCGCGAUACACAUCAUUUCACUUAACGCAUUUCAACCACUCCUCGAGCGUGCCGCAG